rnacentral:rRNA from 1 species
AGCAGCAGCCACGGUAAUACGUAGGUGGCAAGCGUUGUCCGGAAUUAUUGGGCGUAAAGCGCGCGCAGGCGGAUAGGUCAGUCUGUCUUAAAAGUUCGGGGCUUAACCCCGUGAUGGGAUGGAAACUGCCAAUCUAGAGUAUCGGAGAGGAAAGUGGAAUUCCUAGUGUAGCGGUGAAAUGCGUAGAUAUUAGGAAGAACACCAGUGGCGAAGGCGACUUUCUGGACGAAAACUGACGCUGAGGCGCGAAAGUCAGGGGAGCGAACGGGAUUAGAUACCCGAGUAGUCCCUGUCUCUUAUACA